UUCUGCGGUUUAUUUUCGCUGGGUUUUUUUCGUCGUCCUCACACCUCCGGUUUUUUUUCGUCGCCAACGACGACCCCUCGCACGAAAGAAACCUCGCGAUCGAGGCUGCCCUCAUCUAUUCGCUACAACGACGGGAGCCAUGCCGCCGCCGCCACCGCCACCGCGAUCCCUGAAACGCCGCUGAUCUAUUCGCUACAUCGAUGGAAACCAGGCGCUAGCCACGGAUCCCUUUGCCGGCGCCGAGCAGUCAUCGAGGAGCCGGCGCCGAGGUCCUAAGGAGGCGCCGCCGCCAUCGUUGCAGGCCUCCGGGUUGCCAUCGGGACACCGCUGCCGAGAUCCGCCUUCGCCUUCGUCCGGCAGAGGCGGCGGAAGGCAGCCGGGAGGGGAAGUGCACAACGACCUGGAAGACAUCCGCCCUCACGCGCUCAUCGUCUUGCUCGAUCUACACGAGGGCUGCCGAUGGGCGCCUCGGCGGCGGCCACGGCGAGAUCUGCGUCUGGGACAUGACAAUCCCUCCACCCCGGUCGCCGGUGAGAUUUCACUGCCUCGAUCCUCCCGGUCCCAGUUUAUCAGGUCAUCCCUGACAAGAGGGAGCGAGAGAUGCUACUGCCGGGCACGUGCACGCACGUGGGGCGGCCGCCUACGAGCAGGGCCGCGUCCUCUCUCCUUCGUCGACUAUGGCCUCCGAACCACUCCAUUGUACCUCUGCGCCCAAGUGUCCGCUCCUCGAUCUUCAACAGAUUUGUUAUCGCCUCUCUUCCGUUGCAGUUCUGAAAACCAGUGAACAAGGAGAAAUUUGGAGAUGCAGUUCUAAAAACCAGUGAACAAGAAGCACAUGGGAGCCGCUCAAUGCUCUACUAUUGAAAGUUGAGUAGGUGAUUAUGAGAUGAAGACGCUGGAAGAAGUUGGUGUGGUUGUUCGUCAGUAAAACUUAUCUGUAGUCAAGUCAUACCCAGCCCGUUGACCAUCAUCCGAAUGCUUCUGAUAAUAAUCAAGUGUUUUCUAUUGAAUAUGUUACAAUCCAUUCUGAAGCAAACUGGGUUACUAGCAGUUUAAGAAGAUGUUAUACACCUGACUGACAAAGAUCUUUUUUAUAUCCACAAGGCAUUUCAUGACGAUCCAACUAUAUUGCUGAUCAAAUAGAAAAUAUGUAAUUUUCUGUUUCGGUAAUAAACAGGCAAUUCAACGUAUAGCUGGGGCAGCCUGAUUUCCUCUUACACAUGCCCGCUAGCAGCAGCAGUUACGACCAGGCGGUUGCGGCCUGACUUGGUGGCUCUUCCUUUUUGUUUUGUGUUUGAAUCAGAUUUGGUGGUCUCGAUUUUACAGGCAUGUGUUGAUCUUGGUCUUGUUCUGUAUGCAAGUAGGGUACACUUGAUGUUUCAUGUUUGGUGAAAGAAAAGGAGCUUCCUAUGUUGAUUUCGGGCAAGACAUACAUUCUGCCAUGCAUUAGUAGAUCAAUUGCUUCUUUGUGUAGGGGAACGAUUAGUGAUUGAAUCUCUCUGUCUCGUUUCUUGAUUAUCCAAUUAAUUUACCCUCAUUUAUGCAUAAAUUGGUCCGAUUGAGUUAUGCCAUUUUUUUUAAUAAUCUAUAUUGGUUCUAUAUAUGACUAGAACAAUAUGAUACGAUGCACAUCGGUCCGCUUUACUGGCAGCUAUCCUUCAAGAUUGAGGGGAGGCACUCUUGUGGACCUGCUCAAUGUUCGAGGAGAUACUGCUGACUAAACAAGGUUAUUUUAAAGUUCUGUGUGGUUCAUGUUAGCUAUCUAUCAGUAAUAGUACAACCUUGAUUUUUAUGUCGUUCAGGUUUACCUAACCAUCAGUAACAUUACUUUCUAUUGGAGACUUCUUACAGGAGGUGCUUAUAAAAUGAUAGUUGAACAUGUACAGAUUUUGGAUCACGAUCAUCUAUUUACCAGGCAUCAGUUAACUCAAGGCAUCGAUCAAAAUCUAGCGUUCUUUGUUGUGUGCAUCAUGGAGAAGACAAAGAACAGAGAUUGUGUGAUAUAUCCGAUAGCGCAAUAUAAUUUUCUCUUGCAUAUUUAUAAUCUGCCAUUUGAAUGAUGUUUUCUGUGUUGUAGUCAAAUCAAGACAAUUUGCAACUUUGGUGUUGUGACGUUGGAGGUCGUGCUCAACAGCAAUGGGGGACUGUUCGUUGAUGCCCGACCCAUGAUGCCGGCGAAGGAAUGAGAGUCGACGAGGAGUGGACGCCAUGGGUUCGUGAACUGGCGAAGCCUCCGUUGUCCGUUUUGUAAUGUCCGACGCAUCAGAGGCAUAGUAUGACUUGUCUCGAUUAUGAUGCCGUCUACAAACAUCCAACGGAGGGGAACCCGUCCCAGUUUCCAUCUUGAUGACUACAAAUAGAGGGAAGUUGGUCUGUGCCUUACUAGAGACAGAUGAACCAAUAAAAUGAUUGGAAAGGUUCUUCCCAAGGAAAAGGACGCCGCCGUCGCUUCGGAUCCCCACACGCCGCCAGCAUGGGCCGUGACAACUGAUGAGCACGCUCCACCCCCAUUCCUGCCACAGAUGAAGAAAAGUAGGCUCAAUCAGGCCAUGACCAGAGUUGAAGAAGGCUCAACAAAUUGUCUGAUAAUGUAACACUCCUGAAUAGAUUGAUGUAUGAUAAGCACAUGUGUUAAUUUUGGAGCAGAUGAUAGAUUGUCAGUUGUGCUGAAUUGAUAUUUAAUGACUAUUCAUAUCAAA